rnacentral:lncRNA from 1 species
AUUCCAUAUGUCCUGUGCCAGAUGCUCCCAGCUGCUGCAGCUGUGCUCAGAAUGGUAAGUAGACAGUUCUGAUUUAUCAAAGCAGAUUUUAUUUAUUUAUUUUCCAGUGUCAUUCCUUGAAAGGGAGGGAGAAGAACAGUUUGUCAUUGGGAGGGCAAAAGUGUAAUGCACAAGAGUGAUUUGAUGCCAACGAUCUGACAAAAGGAAUCAUUGGUCAAAUGUGGAGAUCCAGGCAAGGCUGGAAUCUGGAAGACCCCAAUAAGGGUCUCAGUGUUCUUGGCGCAUGUUCUUGGCAUCAAAAUAUUUUGUUUAUGCUGAAGAGUAUAGGAGUCACAUGCAUAUGGAAAAAUGCACUCACUCAGGCUUGGAGUGCAAGUGACUCUUGUUUGUAAACCAACCUUCUGUGCAUCGUCAAAAGAUGUAGGAGAUGAAUGUGAAUGAUUCCAUCCCUCUGACUAUUGGCAACCCUUUCCAGCCCCUUGGCCUGCAAACAGCUGGACUCUCUGAGCAGUGCUUCUCCAUCCUACAUCUUUGGGGGCUAGUAGGAAAUAUAUAUGGAGUGUUAAGAGUGAUGGUGGAAGAGGCACAGCUUCAAAUCUCUGCUCAGUCAUAAAGCUUGCUGGGUGUGCUCCUCAAAGCUGAAAUAUGUUUAGCCCCCUUAGCUAGUUCACAGGAACUCCUGUGAAGAUGGAUGACAUAAGAAUUGUAUGAGAUCAGUAAGCCGACUCCUCUUGACUGACCUCUAUUUCCAUUUGCAGUGUCAGAAUAUUUGCUAAAUAUGUAUCUUUCCCACUUUAUCAAUGAAAUUACUUCAAAUUUAAAACAAAAACCAAAGCUCAAUUCCAGUUCUGAUACUGACACCAUAGAGUUGGCCAUGUUUGACAGGCCCAUUCCUGUUACCCAGCUCUUCUGCACUUCCUAUGUGGGAAGAAAAGAUAAAGUGGGGAGCUUGCUCUGUGAAUUUAGGCUCCCCAUGUAAUGUAGAAACUUGUGCAGUCAGAUGUCUAAGUGGUGGAAGGACCCUAUUUUCAUGGAGCAGGCUCCCCUCUUCAGAUCUUCUCCAAUAAGGAGUGGAGCGAUGUGAUGGAAACAAGAGGGCAGCAAGCAUGGCUCCACUCCUUCCGCUCUCAUAAUUUGAACUGUACAUUGUUACUGGCAUCUCUCUCAGGAGACAAUGGAAGAGUGCACCUUUGGGUGUAAAGUCAAACCAUUGGAGCGUUACAGCACCAGCUGUGGCUGUAGAGACCGAUACAGAAGAAGCAUAUGUUAUUGCAGGUGGGGCAGAUGGAGGCGUCUGGUUUUGCUGCUACAGGUGCACUAUGGCAUUUCUUCUCUCUGCAGUCCUCCCAGCAGUCAUUCCUCCUCUGGUCACUGCUGCGGAUACACGACCUGACUGUCUGACUCCAGGCACUGUGAUAAUCUACAAGGAAUUGUGUGAAGGGCUGAGUACAUGAAUAGACCUGGAUUCAAUAUGAACUGAGUGCAAAACUCACAGGCCCAGUUUGAUCCUCAUUCCAUUUGCGGUGCUCUAGCAACUUCUGGAAGAAACGUCACAAAUUUUGCCACCUAUCUUAAUUUCAAACCCAACUUCAAAAAUGGACAUGGAACUAUACCCCCUUCCAUUAUUGACUCUCCCUUCCUCCAAAGAAAGAUCAGCCCUUUGAGAACAUUUGGUCCAGCACUAACCUAAACAUUACAGCAGUAUCCCAGGCAUAAGGAGUCUUUGAAGAUAUAUAGUUCUCUAAGGCUCCUUUUUCCAAUUCAAACUUUUUUCCAUAACUAAUUGUAAAGCACAUUGAACAACAUUUUUUGUGGAGGCCUUUGAAUGUCACAUGGUAGUUGAUUAACAUGUAAGAAUCCAGCCAUACAUAGGAACCUAAUCAGGGAGUCAAAACCCUUUUGUGGAAACAUAAGGCAGGCCAACAACCCUUCUUCUCCAGCAUCUUGUUCUCAUAGUGGUCAACUAGAUGCCUGUGGGAAGCCUGGAAGCUGGACAUGAAUGCAAGAAUACUCAGCCCACCUAAAAUUCCCAGCUUGUGCUUGUGUCAGGAUUGGGCUAUGGGCAGAGGUGAGCGAGGAGCAGGGAUGGGGGAGACAUUUGGUUUAGUUUUUAUUCCAAGGUGACAAUGCCUGAUUUGCAGUUUCUGAAACAAUAUGUGAUAGAGCCACCAAAAUUCCUCCUCAGAAUUUUGUCAUGAGGUUCUCCAGCCAAAUAAUUUUUACAAAAAAAACCCAAACUAUAUAGACUGGGAGGAAUUGUGAAUGUAAAUAUAUAU